CUCCUCGUCCACUCCUACCUAUAUAUACAUAAUAACCAUAAACCGUUUCCUCUGAUCGUGUCAGAAAUAUAAAAGUUUAUUUCCUCUGAUCGUGUGGUUUCUGAGUUCUAAGCACUCACCUCUUUCAUACACGUUUGUUCGCUUGUUGAGAAGCCAUGGGCGAGGAUUUCGAGUUCCCAAGUGCUGGCAACAUGGCAAUGCCUGAGGAGGAAGAGUUUGAGAGUCCGAUCCUGAAGGUUGGGGAGGAGAAGGAGAUUGGGAAAAUGGGGCUGAAGAAGAAAUUGCUCAAGGAAGGUGAAGGUUGGGACACCCCUGACAGUGGAGACCAAGUUGAAGUGCAUUAUACUGGAACCUUGCUUGAUGGAACCAAAUUUGAUUCUAGCCGCGAUAGGGGCACCCCCUUCAAGUUCAAGCUAGGCCAAGGGCAAGUGAUAAAGGGAUGGGAUGAAGGUAUCAAAACCAUGAAGAAAGGUGAGAAUGCCCUUUUCACAAUACCCCCGGAAUUGGCUUAUGGAGAGUCUGGGUCUCCUCCCACUAUUCCCCCAAAUGCAACUCUGCAGUUUGAUGUGGAGUUGCUGUCUUGGACAAGUGUGAAGGACAUAUGCAAGGAUGGGGGAAUUUUGAAGAACAUUAUUACUGAAGGGGAGAAAUGGGACAAUCCUAAGGACCUGGAUGAAGUGUUUGUUAAGUUUGAAGCUAGGCUUGAAGACGGGACAGUCAUUUCAAAAUCUGAUGGGGUGGAGUUCACUGUGGAAGAGGGGUAUUUCUGUCCUGCUUUGGCCAAGGCUGUGAAAACAAUGAAGAAGGGAGAGAAAGUUCUCUUGAAUGUGAAGCCACAAUAUGCAUUUGGUGAGAGUGGAAGACCAGCCUCAGGAGAUGAAGGUGCCGUACCUCCAAAUGCUUAUCUUCAAUUGGAUCUUGAGUUGGUCUCGUGGAAGACCGUGUCUGACAUUACCAAGGAUAGAAAGGUUCUCAAGAAGACUUUGAAGGAAGGGGAGGGAUAUGAACGACCAAAUGAUGGAGCUGUAGUUCAAGUGAAACUGAUUGGCAAGUUGCAAGAUGGAACUGUUUUCGUUAAGAAGGGCUACGUUGAUGAACAGCCAUUUGAGUUCAAAAUUGAUGAAGAGCAAGUAAUUGAUGGACUUGACCAAGCUGUGAAGAACAUGAAGAAAGGGGAAAUUGCAUUGCUGAUCAUACAGCCUGAAUAUGCUUUUGGUCCAUCUGGGUCCUCUCAGGAAUUGGCUAAUGUUCCUCCUAAUUCCACUGUGUACUACGAAGUUGAGCUGCUUUCCUUUGUAAAGGAAAAGGAAUCGUGGGAUCUGAAUACACAAGAGAAGAUUGAGGCAGCUGGGAAGAAAAAGGAAGAAGGGAAUGCCUUUUUUAAGGUUGGCAAAUAUGAAAGAGCUUCAAAGAGAUAUGAAAAGGCCAUAAAGUUUGUCGAGUAUGAUUCCUCCUUUAGUGAUGAGGAGAAACAGCAAACUAAGGCAUUGAAAAUCACAUGCAAUCUCAACAAUGCAGCCUGUAAGUUGAAGCUAAAGGACUACAAACAGGCAGAGAAGAUGUGCACAAAGGUAAGCUGACCCAUCAUUGACACCUGUUAAAGCUCUUGCUCUCCUUUUUCUUUCCACUUCUUCGCUGGAAACCCCUUUCUCUCUCUUAAAUCUUCUCAUUCUUCUUCUUCUUCUCCCUCCCGCCACCUCACUUACCCUCUUCCUAAACCCUAGCCUCGCCGGACCACCAACACCACCGCGUCAAUCUGACCCAAAUCUCCGCGUCCUUAUCCACCAACAACUCCGGUGCACCACCUAGCCAGCGCCGACAACAUCUGCGGCGUACCACCACUACGUCGUCAAGAUCAGCACAACCACACCUAGCACCGAAUCCAGCCAACAACCUGCGGCCCCGAACUUUCCGCAAACCCAAGGCCCACCACCUCCGACCAAACACCGCGCGCCCUCGUCACCAUCAAAACUCCACCACCAUAGCCCACCUCAACCCAAACACCUAAGCGCCCACAUCAAAACCCUCGUGCUACCCUUCACCCUCACCUCGUUUGGCAUCAGAAUAGCACCGCACGUGCCGGGGUCGAGCCGGACGAGUGCGGCAAAGCCUCCGGCGUCGCCAUGAUUGGAGAUUUCUGGUUUGGGGGUUAGGGAUUUCAAAUUUGGGGGUUUUAGAGCUUGAUAGUAGAAAUGUAAAAGCACUCUAUCGGAGGGCACAGGCAUAUCUUCAUCUUGUGGACUUAGAUCUAGCUGAGAUGGAUAUUAAGAAAGCCCUUGAGAUUGAGCCAAACAACAGGGAUGUGAAGAUGGAGUACAAAA